UGACGGUACUUGACUAAGAAGCCCCGGCUAACUACGUGCCAGCAGCCGCGGUAAUACGUAGGUUGCAAGCGUUGUCCGGAUUUACUGGGUGUAAAGGGCGUGUAGGCGGAGCUGCAAGUCAGAUGUGAAAUCCCGGGGCUCAACCCCGGAACUGCAUUUGAAACUGUAGCCCUUGAGUAUCGGAGAGGCAAGCGGAAUUCCUAGUGUAGCGGUGAAAUGCGUAGAUAUUAGGAGGAACACCAGUGGCGAAGGCGGCUUGCUGGACGACAACUGACGCUGAGGCGCGAAAGCGUGGGGAGCAAACAGGAUUAGAUACCCUG
rnacentral:rRNA from 1 species